rnacentral:tRNA from 1 species
GGGUAUGUGGCUCACUGGUAGAGUGCUUGCCUGGCGUGUAAGAGGCCCUGGGUUUAGUCUCCAGCACCA